rnacentral:rRNA from 2 species
AACGAACUCUGGUAUUGAUUGGUGCUUGCAUCAUGAUUUACAUUUGAGUGAGUGGCGAACUGGUGAGUAACACGUGGGAAACCUGCCCAGAAGCGGGGGAUAACACCUGGAAACAGAUGCUAAUACCGCAUAACAACUUGGACCGCAUGGUCCGAGCUUGAAAGAUGGCUUCGGCUAUCACUUUUGGAUGGUCCCGCGGCGUAUUAGCUAGAUGGUGGGGUAACGGCUCACCAUGGCAAUGAUACGUAGCCGACCUGAGAGGGUAAUCGGCCACAUUGGGACUGAGACACGGCCCAAACUCCUACGGGAGGCAGCAGUAGGGAAUCUUCCACAAUGGACGAAAGUCUGAUGGAGCAACGCCGCGUGAGUGAAGAAGGGUUUCGGCUCGUAAAACUCUGUUGUUAAAGAAGAACAUAUCUGAGAGUAACUGUUCAGGUAUUGA